AGUGAACGCUGGCGGUAGGCCUAACACAUGCAAGUCGAACGGCAGCACAGUAAGAGCUUGCUCUUACGGGUGGCGAGUGGCGGACGGGUGAGGAAUACAUCGGAAUCUACUUUUUCGUGGGGGAUAACGUAGGGAAACUUACGCUAAUACCGCGUACGACCUACGGGUGAAAGCAGGGGAUCUUCGGACCUUGCGCGAUUGAAUGAGCCGAUGUCGGAUUAGCUAGUUGGCGGGGUAAAGGCCCACCAAGGCGACGAUCCGUAGCUGGUCUGAGAGGAUGAUCAGCCACACUGGAACUGAGACACGGUCCAGACUCCUACGGGAGGCAGCAGUGGGGAAUAUUGGACAAUGGGCGCAAGCCUGAUCCAGCCAUACCGCGUGGGUGAAGAAGGCCUUCGGGUUGUAAAGCCCUUUUGUUGGGAAAGAAAAGCAGCAGGUUAAUACCCCGCUGUUCUGACGGUACCCAAAGGAUAAGCACCGGCUAACUUCGUG
rnacentral:rRNA from 1 species